UCCGGUUUGGCACCGGCAGUCGGACUAGAGUCCCCGACAUUACUCGCUGGCAACUAGUCCCAAGGGUUGCGCUCGUUGCGGGACUUAACCCAACAUCUCACGACACGAGCUGACGACAGCCAUGCAGCACCUUGCACUCUGCCUGGUUUUACCCAGGAAUCCGUAUCUCUACGGCUGUCAGAGGCAUUCUAGCCCAGGUAAGGUUCUUCGCGUUGCGUCGAAUUAAACCACAUGCUCCACCGCUUGUGCAGGCCCCCGUCAAUUUCUUUGAGUUUUAACCUUGCGGCCGUACUCCCCAGGCGGAUAACUUAAUGCGUUAGCUGCGCCACCAAAAGCCUAAGGCCCCUGACAGCUAGUUAUCAUCGUUUACGGCGUGGACUAC
rnacentral:misc_RNA from 1 species